CUGAAAAUUUGUGCAGGAAUGCCAAAUUGACUGGCCCGAUGAACUCGGGAUGGCUCGGCAGUGAUUCUGGUACCUCUCCAUCGCUCAUUAGGGUUGAUUUCAGAAUGUCCAUUUGGUAAUGUUUUCUCACUCUUUCAAAGUCACUGUGCUUUUGCCAUAUGGUUAACUGGGCAUUCACCAUCACCAAUUUGUCAUGCCAUAAAAAUAAUGCAGGAAUGCCAAAUUGACUGGCCCGAUGACCUCGGGAUGGCUGGGCAGUGAUUUUGGUACCUCUCCAUCGCUCAUUUGGGUUGAUUUCAGAAUGUCGCUUUUGGUGAUGGUACCUCACUGUUAAAACAUAUUGCAAAUGUUUCUCACUUUUGCAAAGUCACUGUGCAUUUGCCAUAUGGUUAAGCGAGCUACGGUCAAGCGGGGCACCUCGUUGGACUCGGCACGGCCUUGGGAUUAUGUUUAUGCCAUUGCCUGCUCUCUGUGUCUUUAAACACCACGCUUUGUCACUCCAUCCUUGCUGUGUGUGUGUGUGAGAGCUUUUCUUUGACAUCUGUUGGGAAAAAUGACUGAUUUACAGUUCAUGGGGGUUGUCUAAUCACACAUAUGAAGUUUUGGACAGAUCUGAUUUUUUUAACCCUUCCAAACAGCCCCUGAGACACCAAUUAUGGCACUUCCGGUUGGCACAGGAAGCUAUAAAUACACACAUGUCUUGACUGACAUAGAAACCUACGGAAUCCUGAGUUUUAAGUCUUUAAGUUGAGAAUUGACUGAUCUACACAGGGUUGAAUAAUGCAGAGUCAUUUUCACCUUUCGAGGUGAUGUACAUCCAAAUAUCUUUUGGGUCAAUUUAACCACUUCCGGUUGCUCCAGGAAGCUUAGAAUCGACACAGGUAGACCUCAUAGUGGUCUGAUGGAAUGUCAUAGAAGACAGGUUCAUACAGCAUUCAUAACCCAUAUAGACUCCAGGUUGUAUUUAGGGGAGCAGGCAAUGUAUUCCUAUGGGGAGAGAAGUCAAUGCACACUGUUUUUAUGUAAACACCUUCUUUUAACUGUGAAAGGUUAAUGCCACACAGUCAAGGUUAGGCUUGCACAGAUCGGGAGGACCUUAGGAACAGUCCUGUGGUUGAAUUGUCUUUCUAAACCUAACGGUUCCGCCGCUGUCACCCAAAAUCAAAUGACAUUGACAACUAUUUGCAACUGUUGGCCUAAUGAUUACACUCCAGAUCAGCUAGAUGCUGGCAAGAGUGUGUAAGGCGGUAUUGAAUGUGUCAAUAUCUGUCACCUUGAUUACUAAAAUUUCUCAACCUGUGUACCUAUGUUGUAAACGUUAAUUCAUAUGCUAGGUUGUAACAACCUCAUGGUGGGUAUAGGAAACAUUUGAGUAUCAUGCAGUAGCCUAAACCUAUCGAUGUUACGUCGAGCUGGGUUAAUGGAAUACAAAUAACAGUCGUUCAAUAUGCUGUAAAAUAAAUAUUGUAAGGCCAUGCUCACAAAAAAAUAAUCGUCAUCCCUCAUCUUAAACGGCAGCAACCGCUACUGGUAUGUGUAGUAAUUCAGGCUCAUCGCUCUGGCUGUAGCUUGUGUUGUCUGUGUGUGUUUGUGUUUCACGUGUGUAUUGUCUAACCUGGUUUGUCUCUCCUCCAGUCUGUGUGGUGGAGCAGUUAUCGAGUGCAGACUUCUUCUCUGAGUCCAUCCCUAAAAGCUGUCUGUUCAGUACGAUCCACGACGCGGUGCUACACAGCCUCCGACUGCAUGGGGCCUCAGACGUACCCAUCAUCUACGAGUAUGCUCUGGACUUGGCCUGCACUACCAAGAUGUAACCAACAGGGGUCACAUUGUACCUCUUCCACUCCACCUACCUCCUUCCAUCCCUCCGCUGCCUAGCUUCCCAUUGGUUCCCCUCACCUCUUCCCCUCUGUGAAAGAGAAUGCACCACCACCGUGUGUGCUUUUUUAAUUUUUAGGUUGGACCAAGGCAGUUCCCCCGUCACGUUAUGUUUAAUAACUGAAGCCAAAAUACCUCCCCAAAAUAUUUGUCAGACACCUGAGAUGUGUAGUCUAGUCAGCAGUUCUCUUCGCCUCCCCCAUCAUCCUAUUUAAUCCAUUCCUCCUGGGGCCAGUGUAACCCAAACAGUAGUAUAUCCUGUACCAGUCAAAAGUUUGGAUACACCUACUCAUUCAAGCGUUUCUCUUAAUUUUUCCUAUUUUCUACAUUGUAGAAUAAUAGUGAAGACAUCAAAACUAUGAAAUAACAUAUAUGGAAUCAUGUAGUAACCAAAAAAGUUUUCAAAUCAAAACGUAUUUUAUAUUUGAAUUUCUUCAAGUUAGCCACCCAUUGCCUUGAUGGCACACUCUUGGCAUUCUCUCAACUAGCUUGAUGAGGUAGCUUCACGUGGAAUGCAUUACAAUUAGCAGUUGUACUUUGUGUAAGUUUUUAUUCUUCAUACAUUUGAGCCAAUCAGUUGUGUUUUAAAAAAUAAAAUAAAACCCUUGAAUGUAUUUUUUGUAGGUUUCCAAACUUUAGACUGGUACUGUAUAUAUAUAAAUAUAACACCCUUGCCUUUCAUGAACUAACACAUACACUUGCCCUUCCCAUUUUAGCACUGACUUUGCUGAUAGCUACUUUAUUGAGGAAAAAUGUACUUACUAUUACUGAGCUGUGUGGUUGUCCCACCUAGCUAUCUUAAGAUGAAUGCACUAACUGUAAGUUGCUCUGUAUAAGUGUCUGCUAAAUGACCUAAAUGUAAAUUAUAAUUGCUUUAAUAACAUUAGCUCUAGCUAACUCCUGUCUCUCUUAAGCUGGGGUUAUAUGGUUUAAUGCAAAGGUAAAAACAUACAAUGUGUAAUUUCUUACGCCUCACUGCUGAUGUAAUCAUAAUGAUGUUGAAAAGUACGUAAAUUACCCUAAGACAGACACAUGAUAGUUCAAUAUCCACUGAAUGAAUAGCAGCUUUUCACUCUGUUAUCCAAAAGUGUUUGUGUCAUAUCACUUGCAACUUUGCAAAUAUUUACUACAUGUUAGCUACUUUGCAACAACAUAGCAGCCUUCCACUAACCCCUAGCCUAGCUAACAUUAGUCUCAACAAAUUGGAAUUCAUAACAUAUCAUAAUAAAUGACAGGAGACAGACUUACAUUUUCUACCACUGAGUCCAGGUUUGCAUCACGUAGCCUUGAACCACAUCUAUACAUCAUCAUGUAUUUCAGGGUCAAAUCAAUUUCAAAGGGUGUAUAGUUUUCACCUAGUUUGAACACUGUCAUAGAGCUAAUCUCUUUGUAUUUUUCUAAAGAGGAUGUGAAUAAUUCAUGUUAAUGUGAAUUUUGAACAUUUUACUAAAUUGUUAAUUUCCUGAUCUAAUUCAUCUACUUUGAAUAUGAUUUGUAAUUUUCUAGCAUUGAUCGAACACACAGUCCAAUAUCUUAAAGUAAAUAAUUAUUGUUUCUGAGCACAUGGCUAAAUAAACACCAGUAAUGUGA